UCCGACAUGCAUACUGUCAUUUUAUCCGUUGAUCUUGCAUGUUAGCGAAUGAUAUCAUGUGGAUACAUACAUCUCGAAAUUACAACAGAUAAGUACAAUGUCUCUAUAAGGGCAAAAAAUAUUGGUCUCCUUUCAUAUAAUUCACACGUGUGCUUGUGGUUCAUGUUCUUUCUUCUUUUUUAGGACUGACGUUUCUUAACACACUACAUGGGUAUUAUGUUUUGUUUACCUUUAAUUGGGAAAUCAUGAAAUGAGAUAGUUAAUUUAUAGUUGUAAAUUGUAUUUGUUCUAUUAUAGUAUUAUCUAAUCAAGACAGUGACUGACAGCUGCACAUUUCAACUGCUGUUAUAGUAUCUACCUUAUCCUGUGUGCACUGAGAGGCAAAAGCUACAUUAUGCUGUUGUUGUAAGUUAGUUCUUUGGUGAUAGGAUGAAUAUCAUAGGUUUCCCUUUUUAAGAAAAACCAUGAAAAAGAUAAACAUAUUAACAAACUACUAGCAAAUUUGAACUUCAUUUGUAUCACCUUGUUUGCAUAUGUUAUAUUUUAUUUUACAGGAUCCUCCUUUGAGAAAUACAGUCGUGGCAAUGGACCAAUGGUGCACGUAAAACUAUCAUAUGCAAUAUUGUUAAGGUUAAGCCACGGAAAAUGUUUUCUGCUGUAAGUUGAUGCAGAAGAAUUUCUUUGUGGCUUUAUGAAUGAUUUCUUAACAUAAAAUCUGACCUGUCAAACUAUUUAUGGUCAUUUCCGUCACAUUAUUAGCUAACUUUUGGUCUAUGAAGCACGGACACGCAUAAUAUGAAGCCAUGUCGUGUCGUGUCUGUGUCGGACACACGUGUCGAACACACGUAUCCUAUAUAUUUUUUAGGAUUUGCCUCGUGUCGGUGUGUCGGAUGGCCGUGUCGGAUCCGUGUCCGUGCUACAUACCUUUUGGUCAUUAUACAUUAUAUACACUUUGUUAUGGUGUUGUUUCCAUGAGGACUUUGCUAUUGAUAUUAGGUCUAGAUAAUUGGUUUUGACUCUUUAAUUUACUGGGAAUCUGGGAUGAUGAUGCAUUAAAAUAUUGGGCAUGUUAUUAUUUUCCUUCUUUAUGCUUUUUCUCUAACGUGUAAUUGUUAAUCUGCUAUCCAGUUAAUAUUGAAGUAAGGAUCAGAUAAUUAACUUCUCUUUAUAGGAAUGAGGAAUUUCAUAUACUUACCUUGAUCUUCUUGUUGAAAUUUCGUUCGCUCCUCUUCUUCAAAUACCUGUGGAUCUUUUCCUUCCUCUCCUCAGGUGAAAGACGACCAACUUUCAAUGUAGAAUCAUCCAACGGCGCAAUGUCAGAUGUGGACAAUGUGGUGUGGUUGCUGUUGCAUCCGUCUACCAGAUUUUUGUAAUUGAUAGGUAGCAGUUGUAGUAGUAUUGACUGGCAUUAAAUCAGGUGGAUCAUUAUCAUCAAGGAGGCUGGAGAUGGUGGCAGGGUCAAAAUCGAAGAAGGCAUCGUCGCUGAUGAAGCACAGGCUUUCACUUUCACAGCUGGCAGCAGUUAACGGACCCUCACUUUCGNGCGGCGGCGGCGGCGGCGGUGGUGGUUGUGGUCAUGGGAGAAGAAGCGACGGGGAUAAUGUUGUUGUUGCUGAUAGUUGGACAGCAUGAGGUAUCCGAGGGGGUUAUCUCAUCAGCGAAGAAGUUUAUGUCAUCUUCAACCGGGAAAUCGAGGAUUUGGGAAGUGAGCGGAUCGGAGAUGCCCUCCUGUUUAAAAUGUAAAAAGAGAGAUAAUAUCGAAGGGGGGAGGACAUAUCCUUGUAACAAAAGCCAAAAGUGUGAAGAUUCUAUGUAUAAAACUGUGCUGGGUUUUGAUCAGUCUCGUCAACUGAUCGGUUUGUUCCUCUUGAUGCUUAAUUAUUUUGGAUAGAAACUCUUAUCAGAAUAUUUAUCCAUGCGAUGACUCUCUAAUUUGGUGGAGGCUUGAGAUA